UACGAAGGGGGCUAGCGUUGCUCGGAAUCACUGGGCGUAAAGGGUGCGUAGGCGGGUUAUUAAGUCAGAGGUGAAAUCCUGGAGCUCAACUCCAGAACUGCCUUUGAUACUGAUAGUCUUGAGUAUGGGAGAGGUGAGUGGAACUGCGAGUGUAGAGGUGAAAUUCGUAGAUAUUCGCAAGAACACCAGUGGCGAAGGCGGCUCACUGGCCCAUUACUGACGCUGGAGGCACGAAAGCGUGGGGAGCAAACAGGG
rnacentral:rRNA from 1 species